rfam:Gonapodya prolifera JEL478 unplaced genomic scaffold M427scaffold_15, whole genome shotgun sequence.
AGCACCGUGGCGAAGUGGGAUCGCGACGGGCUCAUAACCCGUAAGUCGGUGGAUCGAAACCACCCGGUGCUA